UCGACGCCCACCUCUACAGCGGCGGCAAUCCGCUGCCGUGGCCGACGAGGUACAGGAUCGCCCGGGGGGUCGCGGCGGCGCUGCUUUACCUCCACGAGGAGUCGGAGCAGUGCGUGGUCCACAGGGACGUCAAGUCGAGCAAUGUGAUGCUGGACGCCAAUUUCAACGCCAAGUUAGGGGAUUUCGGCCUUGCGAGGCUCGUAGACCAUGGCGGCGGCAUGGAGACGACGGUCGUGGCUGGGACGAUGGGGUACCUGGCGCCGGAGACCGCGACGACGGGGAGGGCGAGCAAGGAGUCGGACGUCUACAGCUUCGGGGUGCUGGCCUUGGAGAUCGCCUGCGGGAGGAGACCCAUCGAUCACGGCAAUAAAGAGGGACGAGUUAGUCUCGUCGACUGGGUGUGGAAUCUUUGCGCGAAGGGCGGUAUUUUGGAGGCGGCAGACGAGCAGCUGGGCUCGGACUUCGACCGGCAGGAGAUGGAGCGGCUGAUGGUGGCGGGCCUGUGCUGCGCACACCCGGACCACAGGCAACGGCCGUCGAUGCGGCAGGUGAUCGGCAUUCUCCUCUUCGAGAUGCCGUUGCCUAAUCUGCCCGCCGAGAUCCCGGAGCCAUCCUACGGAGCGUUUUCCGUUCCAGGGUUCAACUUGACCGGCAUCAACGGAUGGUCAUCGUCUACGUCGGCCAACUCCGGCGGAUUCAGCACCGGCCCCUCCGUCGAUUCAGCUGGCUCCACUGACAGCAAACCGCUUCUGUAUCCACGCGUCAGGUAAAGCCGUCGAAUUCAACUCUUUCGUUUUGUUCGUCUUUCACUCAGGAUUUGAGUACAGCGAGAGAGCGAGAUAUUUCUGUGUUAUUUGCACUUUCUUCCCAACUGUUCUUGCUGUAAAAAUCCCUGUAACCAAGGUUUCGAUCCUUGGAGCUUAGCUCCCUCGUCCUACUCAGUUGACGGUGGAUUCUCGCGUGACCCAUGACCACGAUGCAUCCCGGCAUUUUCGUGGGGAUCCUGAAUAGAUAUGAUGGAAAGGAAAGGCUAGGUUCGGCCUCCAAAGUCUGUCUAUUGCCUUCCUCCCACUGCGGCGACGCGCUCCGACGACCCGUCGCGAGAACGGCGCCCACGGGACGCCGAAGGUCAGGUGCUGUUCACAUCUUUUGUCUGCUCUGUUUCAUGGGUCCUGGGUGACUUCUUCACCUGUUCCGGCCCUCCCCUCGGACGCGGACGAGAUCCGAAGAAUCAGCUUGGACAUGAGAUCGAUUCAGCCCGUCCGAGUUUAUCUUCCCUUAAAGAUGGUGUUUUACGUGGGUACUACUCCAUUACUCUCCCGUCGGCGUAAGAGGACUCCUCCUGACGCCAUCACCUUCUUCCUCCCCUUGGUGUCCGCAAAUCUCACACCUGCAUCACCGGAGAUCCGAGUUCGGAGUUCGGCGACAGUUCUCGUCCCGUCGGUGUAAGACAGUAAGAGUACCUCACAGGCUCGCAAGGGAAGACCGCAGCGGCUUUGCCGAACGAUAUUACCCGGGCAUCUUUCUCCGCCGCGAUGGGUCCCCCGGCCUCGCCUCAACAAAAAAAAAAAUCGUCGCAACGACCAUGGUUAGCCUACGACAUGACAGGGGCCGCCCAUCUACCCAUAUUCAACAAAGAGCAUCCCGAAAGAUUCCGAAGCUCGAGUGCUGAGGGGACCCCACAGCUGGAUACCCUUCAUCCAGGGACCUAUCGUCCCUCCGGGGGGUCCCCUUAUCUUUCGUCUCCUGGCUGUCCGUCGCUGGCCCAUCACACUGACAAGUCACAGGCAGCUGGCCGGGUGGAAACUGGUGAUGCUGGUGGGAGCUGGCAUCACCAGUUGAUAAAGAAGGUAGGCGGUGCUAGUUAGACCUAAACUGCAUCUCAUUCACCUCACAUUUAGUGUGGCGCAGGACAUAAAGGAACCAAAACAGAAAAAAUUCAGGCGAGAGGAGGGCAAGAGAUCAUUCUCAAGGCCGCAUCAAAUGCCUCGAGCGAUAACUUCUCCGCAAACGGUACGCCGUGCCCGAUUGAGGUCCGUACGCCGCCGUCCGCUUUUUCCGAAAAUAAAAAGGGCAAAAGGUAAUAUUUCGGGUCUCAAGGACUGCGCUGUAAUUUCCUGAUGGGAACAACUAUAAUUUAAUGUUAGUCAUACGCAAAUAAUAAUCCAUUCGCCCAGAACGGCACUCGUGAAGAAUAUAACGUAUAUGACGGCUAUUAAACGCCCGAUUGACUGGGUGAACUUUUCUCUGAUUGGCAACCAAAGUCCUUGGUUACCCCUUCUUCAGACUUGAUAAACGGGACCGCUCCUCCACGUUGGCGAUGGGUCAAACUUUAGAAGUACUCAGCUUUUAGAAAAUGACAUACUUUGGCUGUCAUAGCACUAUUUUUUUAAAAGACUCUUUUGGGCGGUCUACAACGCACCUGGUGCCCCCUUGCUGCCGUGCUAUGCUACCCUGGUGUAGAAAUGGAUUUGCCUCCAAGGUCUGGUCAAGCUUGCACCUUGCUGGGCAAUUAUUGUGCCUUUGACGAAGUAUACAAAAUUGACUUCACACAUGACCAAGAUGGGUCCCGAUCUUACCCUUUCAUGCAACUUGGGCAUCUAGAGAGAGAGAGAGAGAGAGAGAGGAGAGUGUAGUUUAAGAUUUAUGGGUCAUGUCUUACCAAGCCUUCACACAUGACCAAGAUGGGUCCCCAUCUUACCCUUUCAUGCAACUUGGGCAUCUAGAGAGAGAGAGAGAGAGAGAGAGAGGAGAGUGUAGUUUAAGAUUUAUGGGUCAUGUCUUACCAAACCUUUGACACAACUUGGAUAAUGACUAGAUUGCCUUUCUACUUUGGGUUCGAAGAAAACUGGCUGUGGCAGAAGUUUUUUUAGGAUUUAAAGUUUCCUGCAUUUAAUUAUUUAGGGCUUUUAAUUUUUUUUUUCCAUUAAUAGCAUUAGUCAAUUAUGAUACCUACGCUUUUUCCAUGACCGAACUCAUUAUUGAUUCAAUUUUUAUUACUAAAACAUACAAAUAAUUAAUUUUUAGUGUUGGAGAUUCAUAUUUCCUAUAUUUUAUCGAAUAACCUAAAUUUAUUUGCUAGUUGCUGAAAGCUAAACUUUAGUGCAUGAAAAUUAAGAUUGACUUCCGGAGAUGCAUGGAAGCGCUUAUUGAGCCUGAUAGACCAAAUCUUCGGGCGGAUCUAAUGACGCUUAUUAUUAAUGGGCCUUGGGAAAUCCCAACCCUUUACUAAGCCUGCCACAGAGCCUAAUCAAGGUUCGGCCUGAUAAUGAGGAGUGGCUUUGGGCAUCCCCCCCCCUUCUUUAUACAUUUAGGGUCAGCCAGAGAGUUCCCUAAGGCCCAGUAAUAAGCACCAUUUAGGGUCAGCCAAAUAAUAAGCACCACCACUUCUGUUCUAUGUGGGACACCUGAUCUAUUAGUAAACUUUAUCAUUUAUCUUAGUGUUUCAGAAGAUCUAGAACCACUUGAUGCUUAUUUGAGAAAGCACUCAGAGUAAAAAAAAAUGGCCUUUUUUUUAAAAUAACAAUAUUUUUGCUCUCAACGCUGAUUUUCUUUGCAGAUUCAAGGGCCGAUCGCCCCUUAAAGCGGCUAUCAAUAUUCCAUUGGAAUCGAUGUCGAUCCGCAGCAGCUCCUGCAAUGUGUCUUGAAUUCCGUGUCACUCAUUGAAUAAAAUAUUCUGGGCUAUUUUGCCAAAUAAAUGGAGAUAUGAAUUGCUGGGUAAACAUACUGUUAGUGACGAACAGUAUUACGUCAGGUUGAAGAAAACUUAUUCCCGAUCACAUAAGCCCCUUGGGAGAUAUUUCCCUAUAUGGACGUGUGCCUUACACAGUGAAAGCCAGUUUCAACUAUGGCUUUGUCAGAUAUGAAGAGGGCACCGGGGGAAGCUUGGUUCGUACAGAGAUAUAAAACUUCGAGAAGGCCUGCCUCUCUCUCUCUUGUCUCUUCGAUUUGCAUGAAGAUAAAUAACUGGGAAAAUAGAGAGGAAGAGGGGGCAGGACAUCCGAGGAGCGAAGAUGCAGAAAAAUGGAGGCAUACAGCUGAGGAGUGUUUGGGUUGUUAGAGAUGAAAGCCCAAUAUGGACUUAGCGCGGAAGCUAGAAGACAGAAACAAAAUGGACAACUCACAACCGGAGACACAAGGAUUUACGUGGUUCGGAAGUUGGCCUCCUACGUCCACGGGCGGCGAUGAAAAACUCCAUUAGAUGUAGAAAAAGUACAGAAUAGCACUCCCCAAAACCCAGAAUACAGACCUUUAAUCUUGGCCCUCAAAAAACUCACUAGUUCCUCACCAACAAGUAGAGAUCACUCUGUUGAAAACUCACUCCCAACCCUCUAGUACCCUCUGGUCACUAGUGCUACUACUGAUGCUACAUAUGAGAUGAAAAGAGAUGGCCUCUAUUUAUAGACCUCCUGGAACCACCUCGGGAAAUGUGCCAGCGACUCCUCGGGAAACGUGCAGACGGUUUCCUCCUUAAAGCUGGAACGGUUCAGCUGAACCGUUUCCCUUCCGGUUCGGCCUGCCCGUUACUAGGCCGUUGAGAAGCGUGAGAAGCGGUCCACAUCGUGGGCCGUUUCAAACGUCUCACCUUCUCUCUCUCUUCUCUCUCUCUCCUCCGCAUUUAAUGCGGUCUUCUCUGCUGCCGUUUGAGCUGACAUGAUGUGGCCUUGAUGAGCCACGUGCCCAACAUGGGUCAGGAAGGUCGAAACCCAUCCGAAUCGGAGCCGCUCUCCCUUUUUCUCGGCUCAUGAUUCUGAACAUGAUUGGACGAAUCCGAUGGAGAAGCUGGGCCGUACCAACCGAUGUUCUUCUUCCGGGCUUUCGGAGGGGAGGUAGUCGGCCUGGAAUCCGAGGAACCUGUUGAUGUGGGUGGCGACGGGCCGGGCAUCCCCAGGGGAGUAGGGCAGAAGAGCCUCAAGAUCCAUGGUUCUGAGGACCUGGCCCAGGGACUGGGGGCGGGAGCAGAACAGGUGCUUCCUCGCCGCCAGCUCGUCCGCCAGCUCGUUCUGGUGGUUGUCCAUCAGGUCCUAGUUGACCACCACGAUGAGUGGUUUCCCCACACGCAGAGUCUCAAAAAUGAUGCCCGAUCCUACAAAGCGGAGCAAAAUUUUUUCCAUCAGAGGAUGCUCGGCGGAGAGGCGAUCCACGCCCGAUUGGGCCGGCAGUUGCAUGCUUUUUUACUCCUAUGAAUUUUAAUAACAGAUGGAGAAGACUCGCAGUAAGACUUUUGAAAAUAAGCUUAUGAUAAUGCAAGGAUACAUGAAGAGAUUUUGAAUCCACAGUUCUUUCCUUGAUCAAAAAUAAGAAUAGCAUACAUCGUCUUAAAUAUUUCUUGUAGAUCAUUGAAAAAAACUAUUAAAAUUUGAAGCACAUGGAGAUAGAUGCCUAUUGAUCACCCGUCACAAUCGUAAUGAGAAAAAUGAAUAAAAAUGAAGUAUAAACAAUCUUUCAGAUUCCAAGAUAUUCUUCUUCUGACGAUAGAGGGGAUAUAAGACCCGCGCCCCAUCUGGAUGACCAGAUCAGUGUGACCUCUCCUCCCGAGUUCCUCCCUCACUGCCUGUGUAUCCAUGGCGCGAACCAGAGCAUCGAAGCUGGUAGUGCCAACUGUCACAAACACAAUCCUCUUCGCUCUCUUACCAUUUUGAUCUUCUCCUAUUUCCUUUUCUGGCAUUCGUGAUGCGGCACGGCCCAACGCCUUGUUGACCGAUGAACGUGGAGCUGGUCAAGAAUAGAAACCUGGAGAAUCGCAAAGUGGAGGACGUGAAUCUCGCCAACCGUCACUACUCACGUUGCCGCCAUAAUCACCGAAACGGAUGAAUUUAUCAUUCCUUAAGUCUUGCUGUUUCAGUUACAAUUUGAGGCCCAUAAAUCGGCUAAAAGAACUCUGAUUUGCGGAGGAUAGAGAAAUGGAAUUCAAGGAUUAGUUCCUUACCUGAUCGAAAGAUCCCGUCGCCCCGGGUAGGGUUGAUCGGAGGACCCCGCUACUCCCGGUCUGGAGCACCCUUCCCCCUCCCUUAUCUUUCUUCUAUCGCCGUCGUCUUCCCCCGCCGCUCACCACCGUCGACGCUCUCUGCCGGCGGCCAUCGCCCCUUUCGCCGCCGUCCUAUUCUCGUCGACCGCCACCACCAGCCGUCCCCUUCCCACCGCCUGCCGCCGCCUACCACCGCCUUCCCACUGCCCGCCACGGUCUGUCGUCGCCUUGUCGCCAGCCACCACCACCAUCUGCCGCCGUCGCUGCCGCCUCCUGAAGGCCCUUCCCCUCUACGGCUAGGGCUUAAUCCCUCAGUCGUCGGCCGAACACCUUCUGGCCAACCUCUGCCGGUCCACUACCGCCGGCCCCAGCUCCAGCCCGUAACGAACCGAACCGCCCACUGCAAGCCGUCUGACCCUCCGGUCCGAACCCGGUCGACCCGAGCAACCGGGUUCGAGCCAUUUCGUCACCUGACUCGAGUCACCUUGCUCGACCAUUACACUAGUCUGAUUUGAGCCGCCCCAUCCGUCAAUCAGAUUGAGCAGUCAACAGCAAACGGUCAACUAUCUAUAGUCAACGGUUAAGGGUCAAUAAUAAUUACUCAACAUAUCGGUCAACGGCUAAAUUUUAUUUCAAGGCUCAAGUAUAUCUUCUACACUUUUUACAUUUCAUUUGUUCAUUUAAUAUACUUUCUUACUAUAAUCACAUAAGAGAUCAUAAGGUAGCCACUUUUUAUUAUAUAUUAAGUUAAUCAUUGCAUCAUGAUAUAAAAUAUUUUUUGAUCUAUUAAAUAAAUGACCAUCCUAAUUUAAGUAGUUUUCUUAAACUACUUCAAGUAGUAUGUUCAUUGAAUACACCUUCUUUUUGCUCAUGUCACAUUGGGUAGAUAGCUUGUUGACAUUUGGGUAUGAUUUCCCUUUCGUCUAUCGCCGUCAGCCACCACCGCCUGCAAUGCCAUCACUUGCCACUGCCGCUGUCAUCGUCUUCCCUUCAACCGCCGCUGCCUGCCCAUCGCCCUCUCUACAGUUGACAUCCCCCUCCAGCAGCCACCGCCUUUUCGCUGCCAUUCCCCCUUCAUUGCCCACCAACACCAGCCUCGCCAUAUUGCCACCACCUCGCCACCACCUCGCCACCACCUCGCUACCACCUCGCCACCACCUAGCCGCCGACCUUCGCCCUCACCUCCCGCCGUCGCUGCCCGCUCCCUUUUCUCCUCUCUCCGUCACCGAAUGCCAUUCCCCUUUCACGGCAAGGUUUAAUCCCCGAGUUCUGGGCUUGACGUCAUUUGGCCCACUUCCACCGACCCUUUUGGCCAACUGCGCCCGAACCAUCUGGCGCGAGCCAUCAAGGCGCCCAGGUCAUGUCAGAUCCGUCCCUUAAGGUGUGAGUCGCUACAUCUGACAUGUUGGUCAAUAGUCAAUAGUCAACAGUCAAAAGGUCAAAAUUCCGGUCAAUAUUCAAUAUUCAAUAGUCAAUAGUCAAACGUCAAAACAUGUCGGUCAAUGGUCAACACUUAUUUUCAAGGUUCAAUUAUAUCUUACUAUUUCUCUAUUUCAUUUAUUCAUUUAAUAUACUUUCUUGCUACGAUCCCUUGAGAGAUCAUAGGAUAGACACUUUUACAUUUUCAGUUGAUUCUUAAACCUUGGUAUUAAAUAUUUUCUGAUAUAUAAAAUUGAUUCAGCUCGUCUCAGUUUAUUCUCUUUCAAUGGUUUUUUAUGUGGGUAUGACUCCCUUACUCUCCGGUCGGGGCGUAAGAGGAUUCCUACUAACGCCAUCACCUUCUCCCUCCCCUUUUGCACUCAUAAUUCACAUACAGCACCAUUGGAGAUUCGAGUCGGCGGCAGUGCUCCGCCCGUUGGUGACAGUACCACACGGGCUGAAACUUGCACCAAUUUGCGGCUCGCAGGGGGAGGCAUCCUUCACCGCCUUGCCUUGCCUCACAAAAAUAGAUAUGUCUCGUGGCAACGACCCAGGUUUAGCAUACGCCAUGACAGUGGCCGCCCAUCUACCCACAUUCCACGGAGAGGACCGGUCCUCCCUCUUGGGUUCAUCGCUUGUGCAUCGUGCUGGAGGAUCGUCUUCCAUCCCCCGAGUUUCUCAGUCGUUUCUCUCUUGCACUGGGACGAGGCUGCCGGGCCGCCGGCUGGAAGGAAACGGAUGGAGCUCGAGGGAGCUGCCCCCCAGCCAGUCGGCAAAGAGUGGUGGUGGCACUGGUUAGACCGAAACUGCAUCUCAUGCACCUAGCCUUUUAUGCCGCGCGGGAAGAUUAAGGAACCAAAACCGAAAAAUCCAGGCGAUAGAAGGGCGAAUAAGAAAGUCAGGAGGCCCCUCUCACCGCCGCAUCAAAUGCUUCAAGCGACAGCUUUUCUGCAAACUCAUAUCCUAUUUCUUUCGUUUGGCCUACGUGACUGUGUGGACGCAAAGAAACGCCAGUGAAGGCUUAUGAAUGUCGGAGGGAGUUGACCCCGAAUGGUAGGUGUCUCCCGAUCAAUGAUGCGGUGUCUACGGCAGUGGGCACACACCCCGCAGCUUUCACGGGAAAACGGAGAGCUUCCCCCCGCCGGGGGCCCUCCCAUACAGCUCCAGCCUUCCCCCACUCCCUGCGUCCCUCUCAAUAAUCCCUUCCACACCUGUCUCCCUCGGGGAUACUUCGUCAUUCAUAAACUACAUAAAAAAAGCUUUUUUCUUUUUUGGUCAUUCGCUGCCCACAAGUGAUAAGAUUAUUUUGGCUGCGGGGUGUUUGGCCAGUGCGGUCACCUCUUCUCGUUUAUUUCUUCCUUGACGGCCGCUGACUAUUAGGAUGAGCAGGCCGAGAGCUUGUUCUCUUGUUUAACUGGUUCAAGUCACGGCAUCGCCGACCCAUAGGAUACGGCGUACCGUGACGGCUUUCUCACCUUAAAGCGGACCCGAGGAGGCCCUAACCCUCCUCCACGGAAAUCAUCGCUGAGCCAUGCCACCGGGCGCCUCCAUCGCCUCUUUGCUCCUCCUGCUCGCCUUCGUCCUCGAGGCGCGAGGGGAGACGGUGACCACCUCUUUCGACUUCCCCAGUUUCGACUCCAGCCCCGCAGACAUCAUCUUCCUAGGCCACGCCUCAUCCGCCAACGGCUCUCUAGAGCUCAACGAGGACGGCGAUUACAGCUAUGGCCGAGUCAUCUAUUCCAACCCAAUACAUCUUUGGGACAACGAAACCGGGAAUCUCGCAAGCUUCGCCACCAAUUUCUCCUUCCCCGUGAUCCGGCCUCCGAACAAGGGGUAUUUCGCUGAUGGAUUAGCCUUCUUCCUUGCCCCCACGGGCUACGGUAUACAAGAUAAUAGCUCGGGUGGCCUUUUAACUCUCUUCCAAAGCUACAGCAAAGGCCGGUCGGUUAAGGUUCCCGUGGUAGCCGUCGAGUACGACUCCUACAAAAACCUAUGGGAUACGUUUGGCGCCCCCCAUGUGGGGAUCGACAUCGGCUACAUCGAGUCCACACAGUCGGCGGAGUGGGAGUCGAUCUCCGGCCAGGACAGAAGCACCAUCGACGUAGUGAUCACCUACGAUGCCGGCACCACCAGGCUUAAAGCCUACUUCUCGGAGAGGAAUGGCACGGACCAGAGCUUGGCUUGGGACGUCGACCUGAGAAAGGAACUCCCCGAAAGUGUGAACAUAGGCUUCGCGGGCGCCACUGGCGCUGACUUUGAACGUCAUGUGAUACAUUCCUGGAGCUUCAACUCAAGCCUGGAUGUUGCCGACCGUAACGGUAACACUACAAACGGCGGCGACGCCGGUGGUACCAAGAAGAAAAGCAGCAUCGGCCUCCUGGCUGGUGUGCUAGCCGGCGCGGGAACCUUGGCAAUCGCAGCGGGUUUGGCGCUGUUCCUCGUCCGGCUGAGAACGGCGUAUGCCAAGAAUGGAGGACAAGACGAGGUCAUCAACGAGAGAGAACUUGACGAAGGCAAGGGACCCAAGAGCUUCUCGUAUUCGGAACUCGCCCGGGCAACCACCAACUUUGCGCCAGAACAAAAGCUAGGAAGAGGAGGAUUCGGAGACGUUUACAGAGGAACCUUAACCCAGCCGAAAAUGGUGGUAGCCAUCAAGAGAGUGGCAAAAGACUCGAGGCAGGGAAAGGAGUAUGUCGCCGAGGUGAAGGUCAUCAGCCGCGUGCGCCACCGCAACCUCGUGCAGCUCGUGGGGUGGUGCCACGAGAAGGGGGACCUGCUUCUCGUCUAUGAGUACAUGCCCAACGGCAGCCUCGACGCCCACCUCUACGGCGGCGGUAGUCCUCUGUCGUGGCCGACGAGGUACAGCAUCGCUCGGGGUGUCGCGGCGGCGCUGCUUUACCUCCACGAAGAGUCGGAGCAGUGCGUGGUGCACAGGGACGUCAAGUCGAGCAAUGUGAUGCUGGACACCAAUUUCAACGCCAAGUUAGGGGAUUUCGGCCUUGCGAGGCUCGUGGACCACGGCGGCGGCAUGGAGACGACGGCCGUGGCUGGGACGAUGGGGUACCUGGCGCCGGAAACCGCGACGACGGGUAGGGCGAGCAAGGAGUCGGACGUCUACAGCUUCGGGGUGCUGGCCUUGGAGAUCGCCUGCGGGAGGAGACCCAUCGAUUACGGCAAUAAAGAGGAUCGGGUUAGUCUCGUUGACUGGGUUUGGGAUCUCUACGGGAAGGGCGCCGUUUUGGAGGGGGCGGACGAGAAGCUGGGCUCGGACUACAACCGGCAGGAGAUGGAGCGGCUGAUGGUGGUGGGGCUGUGCUGCGCCCACCCGGACCACCUGCAACGGCCGUCGAUGCGGCAGGUGAUUGGCAUUCUUCUUUUCGAAAUGCCAUUGCCAAAUCUUCCGGUCCAGAUGCCGGAGCCGUCCUACGGAGGGGUUUCCGUUUCUAGGUCCAACCUGGCCACCAUCAACGGGUGGUCGUCGCCUCCGUCGAUUCAGCUGGCUUCCACUGACAGCAAACCACUUCCGUAUCCGCCCGUCAGGUAAAGCCAUCAGAUUCAACGUUUUCGUUUUAUUCUUCGAUUUACUCUUGGCUUGUCUUUUUAGGCGGUCGUCGCAUUAACGGGUCCAGCGACUGGGCUGACCAUUUCUCACCAAAACGGCCGUCGACCGACAGAUCUCAGUGCACGCUCCAACUCUCCCAUUAACAACCACUCGGUCCUUAGAGGUGUUAAUAAGUAGAACCUCUCUUCUCUACUUCAGUGUACUAUUUGACAGUUGUGAAGAGAAGUUCAACGUAGAUAUCUAAGGGCCUAAUCGAAGUUUUGAAGGCCAUGAUUAGAUAUCUAUUUUCUGAGUUCUUGAUGAGAGUUUUCUUGUGAUCUUAUCAUAUCUAACUAAAGCUUUCGUCAUUGUUUUUCGUAGACAAAAGAAGAGGUAUAUGGAACCAUGUUAAAGUGUUUUAUGCUAGUACCCUAUUAUGAGUUGAUCACAUCAUGUAGAUUGCAUAAACAAUAUUUUGCUAGUACCCUACUAUGGGUUUUGUUCACCUAUUUUUUUUGCUUUAUUUCAUUACUCCUAGGUGAGUUCAUGACUCCUCCACACCUUUCACUAGAACAUGGACCAGAUCUGCAUAAUCGACUAAGAGAGGAGAUCAAUUCAACCUGUCUAAGUUUAUCUUUUCUUUCAUAUCAGCUUUUAGGUGGCUGUGACUCCCAACUCUCUCUAGUGUAAGAGGAUUCCUCUCGUUUACCCUUAAAAUUCACAGGCAACACUACUGCGGAUUUGAGUUUGGCAAGAAGUGAACUCGAUGAGCUCCAAAAGAGUAAAAGGAAAAUAUGUUGUAAGUAGGGAGAAAGUACGUCCAGAUAUGGAGGAGAAGAGGGCUGGAAUAGAGGAUGGACGGGAGUUCGUGGAACAAAAUAAGCCCUCAAAAUCAAAUUUCUUGAGUUGUUUACAACCAAAUAGAGAGGGUUUUAUCUGAAGGUAGAGAACUUAAUUCAAAAUUGAUUAAAAACAAAAAAAAGAAGGAAGAGACUAAAACUCAUGAUUUCUAGAUAUUAAUAUGCAUACUCAACUAUAAACUCAUGAGAUGCAGUUAGGAAUCUAACUUAAUGUUUUCCUUCAAACUAGUUACAUUGAUAUUGAUGAUAUUUCUCAAUUGUUGUCCUUACAUGGCAUCUAAAGAUGCUGCAUUAACAUGAAGCCGUACCUAGGUCAAUACAUACAUUUUAACAAUAUGGGAAUUUUUUUUAUUAAAGUCAAUACCUUUCUCUUUGCAUAAACCUUUCACAACUAAUUUAGUCUUGUACUUUAGAUGUAAAGGUUAUCAUUGAGUCUUCAGCUUGAAAGUUCAUUUGUUCUCUAUGGCUUUCAUCCCCUUUGAUAGUUAUACUAGAUCAUGUAUGUGGUUUUUCUACAAUGCCUCCAUUUCUUCACACAUUGCUACUAGCCACUUAAUUUUAAGCUCAAUUUCAACUACCUUUCGGUAACUAUCUAGUUCGCCUACAUCAGUAAGUAUAAUAUAUUUACCUAGAGGAUGAAUUUUAGAAGGUUUUAUAUGAUCCAAGAAAAAUUAUAGAUGAGUCUUCAUGGGAGAAUGUUCCUUCACUUCUCCAUGCUCAUCAUGUUGAUAGACUCCUAAGUACCCAAGUCCCUUGUCGCCAGAAACGGAGCAAAAGAAAGGAACGGAUUGCCAGAGCGGAAGACCAGCGCCCAACAUGAGUAAGUUUUGGGCCAGAAAUGAUGGGCCCAGAUGGAGGGCUUGGGCUGGUUAAGGCCUGACCAGUCAACAGCCAACUGUCACAGCGACAGUUUAAAUACUAGAGCAAGAGAUCGAGCGGGAGGAGAGAAAAAUCAAGAUUCUUCUACCCCAUCUGCCUCGACGUUUCACUCUGUCUGUCUGUCUGUCUGUCUCUCUCUCUCUCUCUCUCUCCCUCUCUCUCUCUCUGUUUCGCUCUCUAUUUCUCUCUCUCUUUCUUUCGUCAUGAUCUCGGCUAGAUCUGCUGUUCAUCAACAUCCUUGCUGCCUGAUCCUUUACCUCCUUCUGCAUUGUCUUUCCGGAGUUCGGAAAUGAUUGCUCUCGAGAUCAGGAACUAGUAAUUCUUGCAUUUCAAGAAAUUGAGAAAGGUGAUUGCGUACGUAAUACUUCUUCUUGUUCUCUGAAAUUCUUGUGUCUAAAAUCUUAAUAUCUUAUUUUGAGUAAAUUUCUUGAUAUCCUUCUGUUCUAUCUUUGAAUCAUUGGUUGAACUUCAACCGUUCCCUCCAAAUUUAUAUUGAUUGUGAGGAAUAUAAAAAAAGGAGAUCCUAUCACAUGUCUUAUAGGCAAGUUUGCAUCAAUUUCACUUAUAUCAUGUCCAUAGUAUUAGAAAGGCAGCAGCUGGAUGACGGGCAGCGGUGGAAAUAGUCGGACGGAAGAAGUGGUGGCAGAUGGAUAUUGGCCCUCAGGACCUCUCCUUCGGAGCGAAGAUGGUUGACCCUCACGGCCUCUCCCUCAUGGAGCAGACACAAGUAGUUCCUCAGAAUAAUCUCUUAUCUGGAGAUGGUCGCAAGACCUCGCCGCUCCUAGUUAGAAGCUCCACCUUUGUCUCUAUCUGGUCGUUGUCGCCAUCUGUCGUCGCCUCCACCACUGCCUUCGCUGCCACCGCCAUCUUCCUCGUCUUCUGCCGUCGUCUUCUUCCUCGUCGUCCACCACCAUAGGGGCGCGAGACAACUCUCUCUAAGGAGCUCGGCAAAAUAGCCCCGUAACUUCGGGAGAAGGGGUGCCUCCUCACAAAGGGGGUUGCAGCGACCAGGCCUGGGCGACUGCCGCCACUAUUUUGUAUAUGUCCGCUUCGGCCUCCGACACUCUUGGUCCGCCACUAUCUCUACCUUCAUUGCCGUCGCCUCCAUCCCGUCGCCGACCACCUCAUCGCCGCCGCCGGCUGUCCAAGAUCAACCCCAUUCUGUCGUCGCCGCCACCAUCCCUUCCCGCUUCUUCCACUGCCAUUGUCGCCCUUCCCAACCUUUGUUCCUCUGGUGAUCUGUUCCGCCGGUUUCUUUCCCAAUUAGGGCUUAAAGGCCCCGAUUCGUGGGUCCCAAUCUACUGGUUGAACUCGUUCGGUGAUCUCGACCAGGCCACCCUCCGAUGCGAGCCCCAUUGGUCUGAACGAACCCGCCACAGGUUCGAGCCAACGUGGACAAUUGGGUCCACGUCGUUCUCCCGCGCCAGGCCGAGCCAUUCUGACCAUCUGGUCCACGUCGGGCAUCCCGUCCAGCUGGAGCCAAGACUCAAUCAAAUUUCUACGACAUAGUGAAUGAUCAAUUAUCUAGGCAACGGUCAACAGCGUGGUCAAAAGUCAACUAUUAAUAUUCUGCAACCAAUAGUCUCUCUUCUCAGUCCUUUCCAAGGUAAGUAGUUCUCACGCAUCAUAUAUCUCUGCUCAUUUAAUAUAUUCUUAUUGCGAUUGUCCGAGGGUGACUAUAGUGUAACCAUAUGUUUCUGAGUUUAAUGAGCAUAGUAUAACGACUGGUGACUUUUCUGAGCUACCCGAUCACGGCUGUCCUUGUAGAAACACAGCCGUCACGAGGGCCCUCGGCCGUCAACCUUGUGGGAAGAAAUGUACCCGUCAGACCUCAGCUUUCCUCCUGCCCGUGGACAGCGUAGAGGUCAACGUGGACAGGCCACAUGCACUGAAUGCAAUUAAACGUGUUUAAACAUUGUACCCCGUCAGUCUUCAUUUUUGUAAAGAUUUCAAGGAUCUUCCAUGGAAAAUCUAAAAGCUCAACGAAUUAUCUUUGAUGCGAAGUGGAAGUGAAAAGGAUCGAGUAGUUUAAGAAAACCAUUUGAUGUAGAAUGCUCAACGAUUUUAUAGUUCAGAAAAUGUUUAAUACCACAGUUUAACAAUACACUGAAUAUGUAAAGUGGCUAUCGUAUGAUCUCUCAACCCACUAUAACAAGAAAGUAUAUUAAAUGAACAAAUGAAAUAGAGAAAUAAGAAGAUAUACUUGAACAUUGAAAAUAACGGUUGACCAUUGACCAAUAUAUUUGACCUUUUAUCUGUUUACCGAUGACUUGUCCUUGUUGACGGUUGACUGUGGAUGACCAAUCAGCUGCAGCGGCUCACAGCUAAGGGGUGGACCUGACUUGGUCCCAGUGGCUGGAUGGCUUUCGCCAGACGGUUUGGAUCGCGGCUGGCUAAAAGGUGUAAGUGUUGGUGGGCGGCUGGAAAUGGGCCAGGUAAAAUCAAGCCCUAGCCGUAAGAGGAGGGGCCAUCAGGAGGCGGCGGGAGAGGGGAAAGAGGGGUCGGUGGCGACGGCAGGCGGAGGCUGCAGCCGGUGGCGAGGGGAUGGCAGGCAGCGGCGGGCGGCGGAAAGGUGAGAGCUGGCGGCAAGGCCAUGGCUGGUAGCGGCAGGCGGUGGCAGGCGUCGGGAAGACGACGGCUGGCGGUGGCGGGAGGUAAUGGCGGCGAGCAGUGGCCGGCAGCGACGGGCGGAGGAUGAUGCGACUGGAAGGUGGUGGCGAUGCAGGCCGCGGCGGUACAAUGGCGAUAGAAGAAAGGGAAGGUGGGGGAGGGAAUGGUGCUCCAGACCAAGAGUGGCGGGGUCCUCUGACCAACCCAAGCCGGGGUGACGGGAUCUUACGAUCAGUUAAGAUAAGGAACUAAUCCUCAAAACUCCAUUUUUAAUUCUCCUUAAAUCAAAGGUCUGAAGGCCGAUUUAUAAGCCUUUCUACAGUGAAAUCUUAGUCAGUCAAUAAUGAAGGAAAUCUUCUAUUGCAAGGCAUUUGUUUUGAUGGCUUAAUCGGCGCGUAGCCGGAUCAAGGGCGUCGUCCACACCUUCUAUGUUGGUCAUUCCCCCAAUUUGAUUCAAAUCACCUUCCUUGAUCAAGAGAUGGUUUGGGCGCGCUGCAUCAAUCCCCCACCGCAAAAAGCGGUCCUCGUGGCCACGGCAGGGUUGGUUGGUGAUCCUCACCGUCCUUCCGGGAAAAGACCUCGCGACUUACCCCUUGUCCCCUUCGAGGACGAUGGAACCUUCGUGUGGCGGCUCCGGUAGGUCAACUUGGGGCUGGAUGGUCGCCGCCUUUCUUGAAAGCCUCACCGGAACACGCGUAGACCGAAGCGAUUAUCGCUUCAUUAUUUAGGGGCGCCGCCACCCACUCGCCCAUCAGGAGGAGCGCUCGAAUUUAAUAAACGAGCGGUUACUGUCACGAUAACAAGGCCGAGAACUUACAAAAUGUUUCAUAGCCAGAGUGCCGUGACGGCUUUCGCACCUUACAGCGGCCUUGUGGAGGCCCCAACCCACCUCCACGGAAAUCAUCGUUGAGCCAUGCCGCCGGGCGCCUCCAUCGCCUCUUUGCUCCUCCUGCUCGCCUUCGUCCUCGAGGCGCGAGGGGAGACGGUGACCACCUCUUUCAACUUCCCCAGUUUCGAUUCCAGCCCCACAGACAUCACCUUCCUGGCCGAUGCCUCAUCCGCCAACGGAUCCCUAGAGCUCAACUUGAACGCCGGAUACAGCCUCGGCCGAGCCAUCUACUCGAAACCAAUCCGCCUCUGGGACAACGAAACCAAGAGUCUUGCAAGCUUCACCACAAACUUCUCUUUCUCCGUGAUCCGGCGUCCGAACACGACGGAUAACGGCGAUGGGUUAGCCUUCUUCCUCGCCCCCGUCGGCUACCCUAUUCCGGAGAACAGCACGGGUGGUUCAUUCACGCUCUUCAACCGCUCAUGUGUAGACCAACCCGCAAAGGUCCCCGUAGUAGCCGUCGAGUUCGACACCUUCCAAAACAGAGGAGAAGACGCGGCCCCCCAUGUGGGGAUCGACCUCGGCUGCUACAAGUCGAUUAGGAGCUCGAUUUGGGAGUCGCUCGAGGGUCAGACCAGUGUCACGAUCGACGCAGUGAUCACCUAUGAUGCAGGCACCACCACGCUGACAGCCUUCUUCUCCGGCAGGAGCGGCUACAUCAGGACCCUACCUUACGUCGUCGACCUGAGAAACGAGCUUCCCGAAAGGGUUGACAUUGGUUUCGCUGGCGCCACUGGUGAUUUCUUCGAACGCCAUGUGAUACAUUCCUGGAGCUUCAAUUCGAGCCUGGAUGUCGCCGUCCGUAACGGCAACACUACAAACGGAGGCGACGCGGGAGGGGGCGGCAUCAACGCUCCUCCGGACCCCCCUCCGAGCAAGAAGAAAAGCAGCAUCGGCCUACUGGCUGGUGUGCUUGCUGGCGCGGGAACCUUGGCAAUCGCAGCGGGUUUGGCACUCUUCUUCGUCCGGCGAAGAAGGGCAUAUGCCAAGAAUGGAGGACAGGACGACGUCAUCAACGACAGCGAACUUGACGAAGGCAAGGGGCCCAAGACCUUCUCUUAUUCGGAACUCGCCCGGGCAACAAGCAACUUUGCGCCAGAACAAAAGCUAGGAAGAGGAGGAUUCGGAGACGUUUACAGAGGAACCUUAACCCAGCCGAAAAUGGUGGUGGCCAUCAAAAGAGUGGCAAAAGACUCGAGGCAGGGAAAGAAGGAGUAUGUCGCCGAGGUGAAGGUCAUCAGCCGCGUGCGCCACCGCAACCUCGUGCAGCUCGUGGGGUGGUGCCACGAGAAGGGGGAGCUGCUUCUCGUCUAUGAGUACAUGCCCAACGGCAGCCUCGACGCCCGCCUCUACGGCGGUGGCAAUCCGCUGCCGUGGCCGACGAGGUACAGCAUCGCCCGGGGGGUCGCGGCGGCGCUGCUUUACCUCCACGACGAGUCGGAACAGUGCGUCGUCCACAGGGACGUCAAGUCGGACAAUGUGAUGCUGGACGCCAAUUUCAACGCCAAGUUAGGGGAUUUCGGCCUUGCGAGGCUCGUGGACCACGGCGGCGGCAUGGAGACGACGGCCGUGGCUGGGACGAUGGGGUACCUGGCGCCGGAGACCGCGACGACGGGGAGGGCGAGCAAGGAGUCGGACAUCUACAGCUUCGGGGUGCUGGCCUUGGAGAUCGCCUGCGGGAGGAGACCCAUCGAUCACGGCAAUAAAGAGGGACGAGUUAGUCUCGUCGACUGGGUGUGGGAUCUCUACGGGAAGGGCGCCGUUGUGGAGGGGGCGGACGAG
rnacentral:lncRNA from 1 species